AUGUGUGUCUGUGACCUCAUCAUCCGAGCCGCCCUGAACUUUCUCAGACGUCUUGUUUCUGGAUCAUUUGGUAAAGCUGUGUGUGAAUUAUUGACAUAUUCUUUUAUGGAACAUUUAUUUGUUUUUAAUGUUGUGAGCAUUUCAUGUCUCUGUGUCCUCCUCAUAGUUUUGUCUCUCUCUCUCUCUCCCAUUAUGUUUGCUGCAUGUUUGUUCCUCUCUCUCUCUCCUUCAUCCUCUCUGUCCUGUCUCCCUCUUCUUCUCUCCUCUCUCUCUCUCCUUCAUCCUCUCUGUCCUGUCUCCCUCUUCUUCUCCUCUCUCUCUCCUUCAUCCUCUCUGUCCUGUCUCCCUCUUCUUCUCUCUCUCUCCUUCAUCCUCUCUGUCCUGUCUCCCUCUUCUUCUCUCUCUCUCUCUCUCCUUCAUCCUCUCUGUCCUGUCUCCCUCUUCUUCUCCUCUCUCUCUCUCCUUCAUCCUCUCUGUCCUGUCUCCCUCUCUCCUCUCUCUCUCUCUUCAUCCUCUCUGUCCUGUCCUCCCUCUUCUUCUCCUCUCUCUCUUCUUCAUCCUCUCUGUCCUGUCUCCCUCUUCUUCUCCUCUCUCUCUCUCCUUCAUCCUCUCUGUCCUGUCUCCCUCUUCUUCUCUCUCUCUCCUUCAUCCUCUCUGUCCUGUCUCCCUCUUCUUCUCCUCUCUCUCUCCUUCAUCCUCUCUGUCCUGUCUCCCUCUUCUUCUCCUCUCUCUCUUCUUCAUCCUCUCUGUCCUGUCUCCCUCUUCUUCUCCUCUCUCUCUCUCCUUCAUCCUCUCUGUCCUGUCUCCCUCUUCUCCUCUCUCUCUCCUUCAUCCUCUGUCCUGUCUCCCUCUUCUUCUCCUCUCUCUCUCUCCUUCAUCCUCUCUGUCCUGUCUCCCUCUUCUUCUCUCUCUCUCUCUCUCCUUCAUCCUCUCUGUCCUGUCUCCCUCUUCUUCUCCUCUCUCUCUCUCCUUCAUCCUCUCUGUCCUGUCCCUCUUCUUCUCCUCUCUCUCUCCUUCAUCCUCUGUCCUGUCUCCCUCUUCUUCUCCUCUCUCUCUCUCCUUCAUCCUCUCUGUCCUGUCUCCCUCUUCUCCUCUCUCUCUCUCUCUCCUUCAUCCUCUCUGUCCUGUCUCCCUCUUCUCCUCUCUCUCUUCUUCAUCCUCUCUGUCCUGUCUCCCUCUUCUCCUCUCUCUCUCUCUCUCCUUCAUCCUCUCUGUGCUGUCUCCCUCUUCUCCUCUCUCCUUCAUCCUCUCUGUCCUGUCUCCCUCUUCUCCUCUCUCUCUCUCUCUUCUUCAUCCUCUCUGUCCUGUCUCCCUCUUCUCCUCUCUCUCUCUCUCUCCUUCAUCCUCUCUGUCCUGUCUCCCUCUUCUUUUCCUCUCUCUCUCUUCUUCAUCCUCUCUGUCCUGUCUCCCUCUUCUUCUCCUCUCUCUCUCUCCUUCAUCCUCUCUGUCCUGUCUCCCUCUUCUCCUCUCUCUCUUCUUCAUCCUCUCUGUCCUGUCUCCCUCUUCUUCUCCUCUCUCUCUCUUCUUCAUCCUCUCUGUCCUGUCUCCCUCUUCUUCUCCUCUCUCUCUCUCCUUCAUCCUCUCUGUCCUGUCUCCCUCUUCUCCUCUCUCUCUUCUUCAUCCUCUCUGUCCUGUCUCCCUCUUCUUCUCCUCUCUCUCUCUUCUUCAUCCUCUCUGUCCUGUCUCCCUCUUCUUCCUCUCUCUCUCUCCUUCAUCGUCUCUGUCCUGUCUCCCUCUUCUUUUCCUCCUCUUCCCGGCCGACUGUCAGCAGGAAGGUUCUCCUUUUGA
ensembl:lncRNA